UCUGGGAAACUGCCUGAUGGAGGGGGAUAACUACUGGAAACGGUGGCUAAUACCGCAUAACGUCGCAAGACCAAAGAGGGGGACCUUCGGGCCUCUUGCCAUCAGAUGUGCCCAGAUGGGAUUAGCUUGUUGGUGAGGUAACGGCUCACCAAGGCAACGAUCCCUAGCUGGUCUGAGAGGAUGACCAGCCACACUGGAACUGAGACACGGUCCAGACUCCUACGGGAGGCAGCAGUGGGGAAUAUUGCACAAUGG
rnacentral:rRNA from 1 species